rnacentral:rRNA from 1 species
AGAACCCUUCGGGGCGAAGAUAAAGUGGAUUAGCGGCGGACGGGUGAGUAACACGUGAGUAACCUGCCUUAGACAUUGGGAUAGCCUCGGGAAACCGGGAUUAAUACCAAAUAAAAUCAUAAUGACACAUGUCAUAACGAUCAAAACUCCGGUGGUCUAAGAUGGACUCGCGUCCCAUUAGCUAGUUGGUAGAGUAAAAGCCUACCAAGGCGACGAUGGGUAGCCGGCCUGAGAGGGUGAACGGCCACAUUGGAACUGAGAAACGGUCCAAACUCCUACGGGAGGCAGCAGUGGGGAAUAUUGCACAAUGGAGGGAACUCUGAUGCAGCGACGCCGCGUGAACGAAGAAGGCUUUCGAGUCGUAAAGUUCUUUUAUAUGGGAAGAUAAUGACGGUACCAUAAGAAAAAGCCCCGGCUA